GACAAAUAAGUUCUUAUGAUUAAUGCUUCUGCCAAUUCUAACCCAAAAAGGAAAGAAAAGGUAAAAGAAGGAUCAAAGAACUAAAUUUUGCAUCCUAAGGUGGAAACCAAAAGAAGCAGAAGUUACCCAAAGAUAAAAUACUUUUUGUCAAGAAAAUGACACUGGAAGGGAUACUGCUUGAUGUUCAAAACAUUGGAUGUUUUGAUAGCAGAAUUUGGUAUAUUUUUCAUUGAGGUGAACAUGUAACAACUCAUACUCCUGGGUAUUAGAUACGAGUUAUAGUUCACACAUUUUUAAAAUGUGUGUUGUCUAACUAAAAACAGGAGAGUGGGACCAAGGAAAUUUGACUUACGCAUUUGUUUUGAGCAAUAGUUGCUGCUAAAUGCAUAAUGUCUUAUGGAUUUGAUCUAUCUCUGGGUUUGUGGACAUGUUAGAUUGUUAUUUUGUUCUUGGAAUUACGAGGAAUAUAAUUUACAUUCUCGUGUUAGACAUUGAAGUUUUUCUAUCCAUUUUACUUAUAGAAUUUAUUCUACUUUGCUUAAUGGAGAUGAAAAUAUUUCACUUGAGAAUACUUUAUAUUUGCUCAAUGCGAACAAAAUAUCCUCAGUGUGUAAAAUAAACCAUCACAAGCAAUGCGAAUAGUCCGACUUAACUUUGGCAUGUAG
rnacentral:lncRNA from 1 species